GGGAAUGUGACUGACAGACUUGGGUCCUCCAUCAAUUACAAUUGCCAAUUGUAAUUGGGCAAUGACAGCGGAAUGUAGUAGUCUCCGAGAUGCAGGACGUAGGGGCAGCGCGUUAGGGCCCGGAGGACGAGGCAUCAGAGCCCAAACCUUGGGGUGUGGCAUAGGACCUGGCCGAGGGGCGACGCGUCCAAAUUCUGGGGCCUUGAGAGCCUAGAGUCUCCAGUGAGCAGGGCUACUACGACGUUGAAAGGACCCUCGAGUUAGACUGCGGAGAUGGGCUUUAUCCCCCCACAGUGUAGAGCUGUUGUCAGUUUCAGGCGGGGCGCGCUGUGGCCCUAAUUUCAUUUUAUUAAGAGAUUCUGCAAACCCGAUGUCCCCCAUGGUGACACUAAGACCCUUCUCUCUCUCCCAAUCAUGCAAGAAAUGCGCCAGCAGCUACAGUCCGUGUACAGCCCUGCAGCCUUGUACCACUGCAGGUAGUAAAGCUGGAGAGCCACUGUUUGGCAACCAGGUCCAGGCAGGCUUGGAGCUGACAGCAUCUCAUUCUGUGGCUUCCUGCCCAGGGGCUCCUCGGAUGCCGGAGUGCCCAGACUCUGCUUUCAGAGGGGCCCAGCCUAAAACAACCCGUUAUAAGAUGAUCUUACUUUCUUGGAAAUGCUGCAUUACAAAAAAAUGGGAAGAAGAAUCAAAAGGAGCGAGAAACAUGAUCGUCUAUGGAGAACCUUCCUUGGAGAAGGGUAGACUCUUGCCUGUUACGCAUUCGUCUGUGUGAGGGGAACGGAGUGAGGGUAGAGGAAGCAGGAUGCUGAGGGAGCUGGAGCAGCUUUGUUGUCUAGGAUGACCCCGUUGCACACCUGAGUUGGCUGCUUACUACUGACUCUCUGAUCCUGGCAGAUGUCCGCCUCUGAACCUGUUUCCUCACCUGUAACACAGAGGCAGUAAAUGCCAACUCAUACGGUGAGACACAGAGACCAUGUCAGCUGAGUGCCGAGCCCGGUGCCCAGGCCCUGGUGUGCGUCAGUAAAUGCUGUCUUGGUGGAACAGCCCUGUGUAAUCAGCUUGGGACUGUCCGGGACCAAGUUUCUCCUGCUGCUUCCUGUGUGCUUACUUCCCUUCCACAGUAAAAUGGUGAGCCUCUCAAAGGCAGUGAUAGAAGUCUGUGAUCAAUAGACACAUUAUCCCUUUCAAAUAAACGACUCCAGCGUUACUGCCCAGACCAGCAGAGGCCUCAGCCCCUAGGGAUUGCUUGCUUCCCAUAGCAGGUCGGUGCCCAGGAAGCCACUCUGAGACAGUUAUGUAUGCAGGAAGUUUAUUGGGGUGGGUUCUUGGGGUCAACACUGUGAUGGAAGGGAAGGAAGCAGGAUGAGGCAGAUGUGGGCUGCGAUGCAGUCACAAGGCCUCAACUGACCCUGUGGGGAGCACUGGAGCUAGAGUGGCCCUUCAGGGUUGUCCUCAGGCUUUAAAUCCCUGCCCUGUCCAGUCAUUGGAUGUGGCUGCCCUGAGAAGGAGGCACUGCCAGCCCGCACAUUCCCGGCCACGGGGAAAGAAGUGAAGUGGGGGCUCUGAGUGGAGCAGCGCCCACCACACCUUCAGUUCUAAUGGGUGGCUCUGGAGGAUGUGGCAGUUACUGCUAGCUCUCCACCCAGUGUCCACUCACCCCUUCUUCCUUAUUAAGAGGUGCCUGAUUGUUUGAGACAGCAGUGUGCCCAAUAAAAAUACUCACUUUCCUAGACUCCUUUGCAGUGGAGGUGGGCCAGCGACCGCACUGUGGCUAGUAAGAUGUAAAUAGCAGUCUGGGCUCCUGAUGACGUGGUGGAGCCGUUAGAGAAAAUGAAAGGCUGUAUCUGCUUAACCUCUGUGAUCAGGUUUCUGUUGUAUGUAACCAAACAGUUCUAAAUGGUUCACAGAGGCAUUAUCAUAUCCUGUCUUAAGAACAGGGUCCUUCAAGUUAAAUGAACGACACCUCUGGGUCCCAGCUCUGUGCAUACCAGCUAGCUCUGUGGAACCUCGGAGGAGUCACUCCACCCGGCUUCCUGUUUCUGUAAAAUGGGAACGACAGGACUACCUGGCACAUGUCUCAUGUAACACUAGGGUAGCCAACUUGUCCCAGUUUGCCUGGACUUGCUCAGUUUUAGCACUGAAACCCCAGACAAACAGGGACAGCUGGUCACCCCAUUAAAACACAUCCCCAAACACCCUACCUCCUUUACGGAUGGAAGACGGCCCUGAAGGCUAAAAAUUCUAUUUGAUGCUGCCCC
ensembl:lncRNA